GGAGAGGUGGCAGAGUGGUCGAAUGCACCGCACUCGAAAUGCGGCGUGGGGGCAACUCCACCGGGGGUUCGAAUCCCUCCCUCUCCGCCA
rnacentral:tRNA from 7 species